UUCCUUCAAGCCAACUUGACUGUAGGCUUGUUGUUGCUAUAUCUGUACCAGUAUAUAAUUUAUAGGUAUUCUAAUCGCUAAUGCUUUAUAAAAUUUGUUAAGUUUACAAACCCUAGCAGCCGUCACUCAUUUUUGAGUUUUCAUUCUCAGUCUCUCUCUCCCUCAUCCGCUGCUCUCUCUCCCUCAUUCCUCAGUCUCUCUCUCCCUCCUUCCUCUCUUCCUCUCUUCCUCUCUUCCUCUCUUCAACUCUCCUUCCUCUCUUCCUCUUUCCAACGUGCCAAGUCCAUGGUUGUAACAUGGAUCUUUAGCUCUCCUUCCUCCGGAUUUCUUUAACAUUUGUUGAAUAUGCUUUGUGAAUUUAUUUGUUGGCUUUGUGAAUUUAUUUGUCCGAGGCCCGCGGAUUGGCGGAUCUGGAGGAGAAGGAUCUCGAAAAGGAGGAGCAGGCGGCGUUGGAGAAGAAUUCGGAUGAGGUGAAGAAGAAGCAGAGCCGUACGGUCGAGGAGGAGGAGGCGGCGUUGGAAACAUGUCAUAUUUUCUAUUUCUAUAUUAUGUUGUGCUUGUUUUGCAUUUUUUGGAGGAAAAAAAAAAACCGAAAAAAAACCGAAACCGAACCGAAAAAACCGAACCGAAAAAAACCGAAAAAAAUUUGGGCCGAACCGAACCGAACCAAAAUUUCGGUUUGGUUUCGGUUUUGGCAAAAAACCGAACCGAUAAAAACCGAACCCAGCCCUAUCCAUAUAUUUGGUUUAAAAAUUAGACACAUAUGACAAGGCGUGUUAGAAUGUGAAAAUAAAAGAUCCCCAUAUUAGUGAAAGGAGAAA